AGAGUUUGAUCAUGGCUCAGAACGAACGCUGGCGGCAUGCCUAACACAUGCAAGUCGAACGGGAAGUAGUAAUACUUCUAGUGGCAAACGGGUGAGUAACGCGUGGGAAUCUGCCUCUUGGAGGGGGACAACUAGGGGAAACCUUAGCUAAUACCCCAUAAGCUUAGCAAUAAGGAAAGUUUUUUCGCCAAGAGAUGAGCCCGCGUCAGAUUAGGUAGUUGGUGGGGUAAAGGCCUACCAAGCCUGUGAUCUGUAGCUGGUCUGAGAGGAUGAUCAGCCACACUGGGAUUGAGAUACGGCCCAGACUCCUAUGGGAGGCAGCAGUGAGGAAUAUUGGACAAUGGGGGAAACCCUGAUCCAGCAAUGCCGCGUGAAUGAAGAAGGCCUUCGGGUCGUAAAAUUCUUUUACUCGUGAAGAUGAUGACGGUAGCGAGAGAAAAAGUACCGGCUAACUCUGUGCCAGCAGCCGCGGUAUAC
rnacentral:rRNA from 1 species